AGCAGCCGCGGUAAUUCCAGCUCCAAUAGCGUAUAUUAAAGUUGUUGCAGUUAAAAGCUCGUAGUUGAAUUUCGGGGUCAGCAGGUCGGUCGUGCCACUGGUAUGUACUGGCUUUGCUGAUUCCUCCCUCUUGACGAACCGUAAUGCCAUUAAUUUGGUGUUGCGGGAAAUCAGGACUGUUACUUUGAGAAAAUUAGAGUGUUUAAAGCAGGCUUACGCUUGAAUACAUUAGCAUGGAAUAAUGAAAUAGGACGUCCGAUCCUAUUUUGUUGGUUUCUAGGAUUGACGUAAUGAUUAAUAGGGAUAGUUGGGGGCAUUAGUAUUCAAUUGUCAGAGGUGAAAUUCUUGGAUUUAUUGAAGACUAACUACUGCGAAAGCAUUUGCCAAGGAUGUUUUCAUUAAUCAAGAACGAAAGUUAGGGGAUCGAAGACGAUCAGAUACCGUCGUAGU
rnacentral:rRNA from 1 species